AGAAUUUAAAUACUGGUGCCAUUGAUAGUAUAUUCAAUGAAUUCCAUAUAUUCAAUAUUAUUCAUAUCCUUCAAUUAACCUUUCCAUCUCCUAACCCUAUGCAUCCUAGCCCUGCUGCUGCCUAAUCCCUGAGCCAGGCAUCGUGAGUGGGCUGAAACCCUCAUCCCAGCCAUCUAUUCACAGAUAGAGCCAGUGGUCGGCCCCAUCGCCAGCGCCAUGGCCCUGCUGCCCACCCACCAUAUUGAGCAAACAGGACGAGCAAACAGCGGGGAGUGCCUCAGAUAGGUCCCCCCUGCCUCCGCCCAGAGCCCGGGCCGUGAGCAAACACUCCAGCCUGCAGAACAAAGGAGGAUGAAUAAUCGGAGGGAAAUGUCAACGUUUCAUCGUGGCUGCCCUGGCCCGGUGAGUUAUCCAUUAACCACAGGCCGAGUGC
rnacentral:lncRNA from 1 species